AAUUUUCUUAGCAAUCGCAAACAGGCAGUAGUUCUAGAGGGGGGAAAAUCUGAGUAUGUUGCAGUUGAGUCAGGGGUUCCACAGGGGUCAGUUCUUGGACCAAGUCUCUUCUUGUACUAUAUUAAUGACAUUCCAACUGGUCUAACAUCUACAGUACGUUUAUUUGCAGACGACACAAUAGUUUAUUUGGCAAUAAAAUCAAACUCCGAUGCAUUAACAUUACAAAAAGAUCUAGACAAACUGGCAUCGUGGGAAACUACUUGGAAAAUGGCAUUCCACCCAGAUAAGUGUAAUGUAAUUUCAGUCACCAGAAAUAAAAAACCAAUCACAUUUAACUACACAUUACACAAUCAUUCAUUAGAACAUGUAACAACAGCAAAAUAUCUGGGGGUCACCAUCAGUUCCAACCUUAAAUGGGAUGUGCAUAUUAACAACAUAUGCAAGAAAGCUAAUAGCACACUAGGCUUUCUAAGGAGGAACCUGAACAUAAGUUCAACAUCCAUUAAAGAGCAAGCAUAUAAGUCCCUAGUAAGACCAUCACUAGAGUAUGCUUGCUCUGUUUGGGAUCCAUACUUACAACAAGACAUAGAUAGCAUUGAAAAAGUUCAAAGGAGGGCUGCGCGUUUUGUUACCAACAAAUACAGAAACACCUCAAGCGUUGGUAACAUGUUACAACAUCUUGAAUGGCGCAGUCUCUCUGACAGAAGAAAAGACUCCAGAUUGGUAAUGCUUUACAAAAUUGAACACGAAAAGGUUGCAAUUCCUAAAAAUAAUAAAUUAAUUCCUCAAAAAAGACAAACAAGACAUUCUAAUUCGAACAGCUUCCAAAUUCCAUCCUGCAAAACACAGUACAGAAAAGAAUCAUAUUUUCCAAGAACUAUUACCGAC
rnacentral:lncRNA from 1 species